rnacentral:misc_RNA from 1 species
GUAACCCCCACCAACAUCAGUCUCCGCCAUCCGCUCACAAUGUUCACAACGGUCCUCACUGCCGCCCUCGUGGCCUGUGUUGCCGCCGACGGUAUUCCAAGCUUCGUCUCUCCUGGUCAAUGUGCCUCAGUUGCCAACCAGGACAACUUCGACCUCAGGAAGUACGCUGGCCGUUGGUACCAGACCCACAUCAUCGAGAACCCUUACCAGCCGGUGACUCGAUGCAUCCACUCCAACUAUGACUAUUCCGAUAGUGACUACGGCUUCAAGGUGACCACCGCCGGCUUCAACCCGAAGGGAGAAUAUCUGAAGAUUGACUUCAAGAUCUACCCAACAAAGGAGUUCCCAGCCGCUCACAUGCUCAUUGAUGCUCCUUCAGUGUUCGCCUCGCCGUAUGAGGUUAUCGAGACUGACUACGACACCUACUCCUGCGUCUACUCCUGCGUCACCACCGACAACUAUAAGUCAGAGUUCGGCUUCGUGUACUCCCGUACCCCCCAGACCUCAGGACCCGCCGUCGAGAAGUGUGCCGCUGUCUUCAAGAAGAACGGUGUCGAGUUCUCAAAGUUCGUGCCUGUCCAACAGACGGCUGAGUGCGUCUACAGAGCUUAAGUCUCUCAUAUUUCCUAAAAUAAUUUAAUUAUUCGAGACUUUAUCUCGUUUAUAAUUUCCAUGUUAUCAAGAGCGCCAUUUAGGUCUAUUGAUAACAACAACAAAGUACCAAACGUCUAUUCAACUUGAGCAUCACAGAUGGCGAAAACGUAAGCUUAAACACUUCGUUUGACAACAACAUUACCUUCACGAAAUGGCCAUAAUAUUAGCCUCAGCACCAUUACUCGUAGCCACAGCAUAUGCUACAGCACCAUCAAGAGUAGACAUAUAAUAAACUCCAACAUCAUCUAAGGUAGCCACAGCAUAUGCUACAGCACCAUCAAGAGUAGACAUAUAAUAAACUCCAACAUCAUCUAAGGUAGACAUACCAUGAGCUACAGCACCAUCACGAUUUGCCUAAAAUUAAAUACAUCACCAUCAUGCAGGACCGCAACAUAACCUUCAACAUCAAGAUGCAGGUCACAAUAUAUGCUGCAACAUCCAUCACCAAGCAUCACUAUCUAGGGUUAAUUGUUUUUUGAAAUAUUUAUGUUUUGUAUAUGUGUAUAUAGUAUUUAGCGAUAUGUAUAAAUAUAAGUUGCGCUAUCAUGAAUGUAUGUGAACAAUGAAUAAAAUGUUAAAAUAA